UAAUACAUGCAAGUCGAGCGGACAGAUGGGAGCUUGCUCCCUGAUGUUAGCGGCGGACGGGUGAGUAACACGUGGGUAACCUGCCUGUAAGACUGGGAUAACUCCGGGAAACCGGGGCUAAUACCGGAUGGUUGUUUGAACCGCAUGGUUCAGACAUAAAAGGUGGCUUCGGCUACCACUUACAGAUGGACCCGCGGCGCAUUAGCUAGUUGGUGAGGUAACGGCUCACCAAGGCGACGAUGCGUAGCCGACCUGAGAGGGUGAUCGGCCACACUGGGACUGAGACACGGCCCAGACUCCUACGGGAGGCAGCAGUAGGGAAUCUUCCGCAAUGGACGAAAGUCUGACGGAGCAACGCCGCGUGAGUGAUGAAGGUUUUCGGAUCGUAAAGCUCUGUUGUUAGGGAAGAACAAGUGCCGUUCAAAUAGGGCGGCACCUUGACGGUACCUAACCAGAAAGCCACGGCUAACUACGUGCCAGCAGCCGCGUUUAUAUA
rnacentral:rRNA from 1 species